GACGAACGCUGGCGGCGUGCCUAAUACAUGCAAGUUGAGCGCUGAAGGUUGGUACUUGUCCCCACUGGAUGAGCAGCGAACGGGUGAGUAACGCGUGGGGAAUCUGCCUUUGAGCGGGGGACAACAUUUGGAAACGAAUGCUAAUACCGCAUAAAACCUUUAAACACAAGUUUUAAGUUUGAAAGAUGCAAUUGCAUCACUCAAAGAUGAUCCCGCGUUGUAUUAGCUAGUUGGUGAGGUAAAGGCUCACCCAGGCGAUGAUACAUAGCCGACCUGAGAGGGUGAUCGGCCCAAUUGGGACUGAGACACGGCCCAAACUCCUACGGGAGGCAGCAGUAGGGAAACUUCGGAAAUGGACGAAAGUCUGACCGAGCAACGCCGCGGGAGUGAAGAAGGGUUUCGGAUCGUAAAACUCUGUUGGUAGAGAAGAACGUUGGUGAGAGUGGAAAGCUCAUGAAGUGACGGUAACUACCCAGAAAGGGACGGCUAACUACGUG
rnacentral:rRNA from 1 species